GCUUCUUUACUUGCAUCUUGUGGGAAUGACAUCUGCGCAGGCAGCCCCUUUUUAGCACCGCUCCUCGCACGCGAGCCCAGCCCUUAAAAACCCAGCCCAGCCCCGGGUUUGCAGAUACUCAGGGCAGGGGAAGGCGCCUUUCCGCAUUUGGUGUAGUCCCGCAUGCUGCCAUUUGAUGUCGCGGGAGAACGCGCCUACAGGGAUAGGGCGGGGCAAGGAGGCGAGGAAGGAAAAAAAGCGACAAGUGAAGACUGACAUCCAUUAAGGUCAAUGGUAGCUCAAUCUUCGGUUCUCUGACUCCCAAGCUUCCCAUUCUCUUAGGAGGCUGCAUUUGUGGCGCUAAAAAAAGGGAUGGGCGUGGGAGAUUCCAGGACAUGUGCUCGCUGAAGAUACAACUGUUAGUCCAAGAUAUGCUUCCUUAUGAACUGACGGUGACUCCCAAAUUCAUAUGUUGAAGACCCAACUCCCAACGGACUUGGAGAUAGUAGAUUCUAUCAACCAAGUUUCAUAAAGAGUUCUGAUUCCCAGAG
rnacentral:lncRNA from 1 species